CCGGUUCCGGUUAGCCGUUUCCGGUUAGCCGUUUCCGGUUAGCCGUUUCCGGUUAUUUGAAUGGUGGCGAGCUUGGUGUGACCGCGGUUACGUGUUAAACGUGUUAAACUCUUAACAUACCAGCUGGCAGUGACAGGAGAAAAUAGCGGACAGAAAUGAAGCACUUGGCUAAUGGCACAUGGAGGGAGGAAACUGUGGAGGAUGAGCAUGGGGAGAGGAGGAGACGGGGGGAGCAGGUGACUGAUGAAGAGGAUGACAUUGAAGAGUCCCCUCCCAGAAGAAGACAGUGUGUGGAGCAUGAGGAUGCUGACGAUGAGCCAAUUGAUUUCGCUAGUUUGGAGAGGAACUCGUCCCCUUUGUGGCGCUUAUCCCCUACUUUGGUGUUCGUUCCAUCUGCAGAUGCUCCCUCCAGCAGUGAGCAUUUCUGGUGGAUGAUGAUGAUGAGGGAGCAGAUGAACGAUGAAGAGGACAGUGAUGAAGAGGCCCCUCCUAGAAGAAGGCAGCAUGUGGAGCAGGAAGAUGACGACUAUGAGGUGUCUGAGCUCAGUAAUUCGGAGAGUAGCUCACCCCCUUUGUGGAGCUUAUUCCCAGCUUUGGAGUGUAUCCACAACAUGCAAGAGCACUCCAGCAGUGAGCAUUUCUGUGGGAGGAGGAGACGGAGGGAGCAGAUGACUGAAGAAGAUGACAGUGAUGAAGAGGCCCCUCCCAAAAGAAGACUGCGUGCGGAACGAGAGUAUGAUGAAGAUUGAGGUGUCUGAGCACACUUAUUUGGAGAGGAGCUCAUAGUAAGCCAUAACAUUAAAACCACUGACAGUUGAAGUGAAUAACAUUGAUUAUCUUAUUACAGUGGCAACUGUCAAGGGGUUCACUGAUGCUCACAUGCCCAUUGUAGGCAUUUUCGGUAGGUGACAGGGGUCAGCAUGGACACGCUGACCGGUCUGCGGCUAUAUAGCUCUUCUGUGAAUUUGGACCGGACGGCCUAGCCUUCGCUCCACAAGCAUCCGUGAGCCUUGUCGAUGGUUCACUAAUUGUCUUUCCAUGGACCACUUAACCACUGCAUAACAGGAGCACCUGAGAAGACCUGCCAUUUUGGAGAUGCUCUGACCCAAUCGUCUAGCCAUUACAAGUUGGCCCUUUUCCUGCUUCCAACACAUCAACUUGCUGUCUAAUAUAUCCCAAUGAAUAUCUCAUUACAAAGUCAAACCACUGUAAUGAGAUAUUCAAUGUCCGUCCUGUCCCGUCCCGUCAACCAGUCUGUAUGUUUGUAUACACCUGAUUUCAAAUCCCAAUUGUAAAAUAUAAAAUCUGUAAUGUCAAAAUCUACAUCAUCAAUUGCUACAUAGGCUAAAGACUUAGCUCAUACCUGUGUUAAAUGCAUAGGCUUUGUACAGUAGGAUUUGUAUUGUGUAUUCAGAGUAUAUGCAUUACUAUAAUGUAUAGUUAUUAAAUGUAUAUAUAUUAAAUGUGUAGGCUAGACAUAUUAGUGCUAAAGUGUGUGAUGUAUAUUUUAUGUUUAUUAAAUACAAUACUUUUUAUCAAUUAAUUGCUUUCUUGCAUUUUGUUUAA
ensembl:lncRNA